rnacentral:rRNA from 1 species
GACGAACGCUUGCGGCGUGCUUAACACAUUCAAGUCGAACGGAAAGGCCCUGCUUUUGUGGGGUGCUCGAGUGGCGAACGGGUGAGUAACACGUGAGUAACCUGCCCUUGACUUUGGGAUAACUUCAGGAAACUGGGGCUAAUACCGGAUAGGAGCUCCUGCUGCAUGGUGGGGGUUGGAAAGUUUCGGCGGUUGGGGAUGGACUCGCGGCUUAUCAGCUUGUUGGUGGGGUAGUGGCUUACCAAGGCUUUGACGGGUAGCCGGCCUGAGAGGGUGACCGGCCACAUUGGGACUGAGAUACGGCCCAGACUCCUACGGGAGGCAGCAGUGGGGAAUAUUGCACAAUGGGCGGAAGCCUGAUGCAGCAACGCCGCGUGCGGGAUGACGGCCUUCGGGUUGUAAACCGCUUUCGCCUGUGACGAAGCGUGAGUGACGGUAAUGGGUAAAGAAGCACCGGCUAACUACGUG